CGGGUAUGUAGACCCUAUGCCUAUAGCACAAAUAAAUUUUAAUUACCCAUCGAGAUGGGAAUUGGAUGCGCCACAGCUAGCUGCUGGAGGGACGUUGGCGGAGAAAGAAAAGAUCCGUGCGGCCAAAAUAAGAGAAGAGUCUCUUAAGGUUGCGGCGUGGAUUGCCGUAUGUUUAAAGAAUCUCCAACACUUCGAAACAAUAUGGAUUCCAUACCACUUCAACAAUCACUGGAUAGUCAUAGGUGUCGAUGUCGGGAUGAACAUGGCAUGGAUUUGUGAUUCUGCAGAUUUUGACCCUCACACAUAUAAAGACUUCAUGUCAAUUCUCAUUACGGCAUUCAGGGCCUAUGUCAAGAAUCACAAAGGAAGGCAUGAUCCAGGUCUGGGGAGCCACUUGCGUUUCAAAUC